rnacentral:rRNA from 1 species
UAGAGUUUGAUCCUGGCUCAGAACGAAUGCUGGCGGCGUGGAUAAGACAUGCAAGUCGAACGGAGUGUCCUUCGGGAUACUGAGUGGCGCACGGGUGAGUAACACGUGAGCGACCUGCCCCUGAGACAGGAAUAGCCCCGGGAAACUGGGAUUAAUGCCUGAUAGACUCGCAAGAGUAAAGCAGCAAUGCGCUUAGGGAGGGGCUCGCGGCCUAUUAGUUAGUUGGCGGGGUAACGGCCCACCAAGGCGAUGACGGGUAGCCGGUCUGAGAGGAUGUCCGGCCACACUGGAACUGAGACACGGUCCAGACACCUACGGGUGGCAGCAGUCGAGAAUCAUUCACAAUGGGGGAAACCCUGAUGGUGCGACGCCGCGUGGGGGAGGAAGGUCUUCGGAUUGUAAACCCCUGUCAUGCAGGAGCAAGGCGAAAGCCGGAUAGUACUGCAAGAGGAAGGGACGGCAAACUCUGUGCCAGCAGCCGCGGUAAUACAGAGGUCCCAAGCGUUGUUCGGAAUCACUGGGCGUAAAGGGUACGUAGGCGGCGUGACAAGUCGUGCGUGAAAGGCAGGGGCUCAACCCCUGGAGUGCGCAUGAAACUGUCAGGCUGGAGCAAUGGAGGGGGAACCGGAAUUCUUGGUGUAGCAGUGAAAUGCGUAGAUAUCAAGAGGAAGACUCGUGGCGAAGGCGGGUUCCUGGACAUUGGCUGACGCUGAGGUACGAAGGCCAGGGAAGCGAAAGGGAUUAGAUACCCCUGUAGUCCUGGCAGUAAACGGUGCACGCUUGGUGUGAGGGGAAUCGACCCCCCUUGUGCCGAAGCAAACGCGAUAAGCGUGCCGCCUGGGGAGUACGGUCGCAAGAUUAAAACUCAAAGGAAUUGACGGGGGCCCGCACAAGCAGCGGAGCAUGUGGCUUAAUUCGAAGCAACGCGAAGAACCUUACCAGGGCUUGACAUGCGAGUGAAGCCGGGGAGACCCGGUGGCCGAGAGGAGCUCGCACAGGUGGUGCAUGGCUGUCGUCAGCUCGUGUCGUGAGAUGUUGGGUUAAGUCCCGCAACGAGCGCAACCCCCGCCCCGCGUUGCCAGCAUUGAGUUGGGGACUCGCGGGGGACUGCCGGCGUCAAGCCGGAGGAGGGUGGGGACGACGUCAAGUCAUCAUGCCCCUCACGCCCUGGGCUGCACACGUGCUACAAUGGCCGGCACAGAGGGUUGCCACCCCGCGAGGGGGAGCGGAUCCCCAAAGCCGGCCCCAGUUCGGAUCGCAGGCUGCAACCCGCCUGCGUGAAGCCGGAGUUGCUAGUAAUCGCGGAUCAGCACGCCGCGGUGAAUACGUUCCCGGGCCUUGCACUCACCGCCCGUCA